rnacentral:rRNA from 1 species
UACAGAGGUCCCAAGCGUUGUUCGGAUUCACUGGGCGUAAAGGGUGCGUAGGCGGUCGGGUAAGUCUGAUGUGAAAUCUCACAGCUUAACUGUGAAACUGCAUUGGAUACUAUCCGACUCGAGGAAUGGAGGGGAGACUGGAAUUCUCGGUGUAGCAGUGAAAUGCGUAGAUAUCGAGAGGAACACCAGUGGCGAAAGCGGCUCACUGGACCAUUACUGACGCUGAGGCACGAAAGCUAGGGGAGCAAACAGG